GGGGACUUUGACAAUCUACCAUCAGGAAUGGACUUAGGAAUUAUCGCAGGAUGCCAUUCGAGCGAAUAUUAACGAAGAUUUAAAAACUUUAUUGCAAUCGUGCGCGUAGCAAUGAAGUAAUCGAGUGUUGUUACCGCUAAAAUAAAAAUUUCGCGAAGUAGAAGCAGUGUUUGUUCGUUCGCGUUUCGCGUUUUAAACGAUAAGUGUUUUUGCAUAGACUGCGUGCAAUGCAGUUUUUAGAGUCAGUGUUUGUUCUCGUAGUUUUUUUUAUUUUUUAACAGUCGCACAGACUGUAUCUAUAACAUAUAGUAGAGUUUCGCGAAAUAAAUUCAGUGACCGUUCGUUAAUAAAUAACUACCGCGAAUUAGAGUCAGUGCAUCACCGAAGAGGAUCUCAACCAUCUUCGAUGUCGACCUGCCUCAUUUUCAACCAACUGCAAUUCGCCCACCCUUGAUUCCGUCCUAAAUCUCGGUGCAGUGUUUUGGAGCCAUCGCAGAACUUCUCAAGUAAAACUCGGACGACGUAGCACUCCAUCUUUCAUCACAUGUUGGUACUCGUACGCGAAGAGAAUUAUUACCUAUGUUAUUCAUUUUUCUAUUCAGGUCGAGAUGUAAAUUUUUAUUUUCUUUAUAUUUUCUCUUUUAAUGUCCUCUUUCUAAUGUGCACUGAAUAAAAGUGCAUAUGGAAUUGAUAAAAACGCACCGAAAUGUGUAGGAAGUUCUUUCAUUCCCGCGGUACGGGAAGUGAAUAUUCGUUUAGAUUAGGAUCGGAAGAUUUUCAUUUUGGUUUUCUCUUUUAAUUUAAAUUAAGUUAAGUUCAGAAUUUUAUUCCCUAAAUUAAUUGUUCCGAUUUAAUUGCAGAAGUUGUUUCUUUCGGGUGGGACCCAUGGGAGGGGCCCUCGGGUGUGGGCCUUUGUGCGGGCUACUUUCUCAGUAUCUUGCAAAGAAGCUCUUUCCUCUUUAUAUUUUCUUCUCCUUUUCUUUUUCUUAUAAUCUUUUUCUGUUUCAGGUGAGAUCAUCAAGGGAUGGAUCAUCGAGGGAUGGAUCAUCGAGGGAUGGAUCAUCGAGGGAACGGUCAAGUGAUUUUUAUUUCUUUCAUUAUAGUACAUUUAUAUUUAUUCUGCACAUUUCUACUUAUUAUAAGCAUUUCUUUUAUGUAUAAGCAAGGUUAUAUUUAUUAUAGGCAUAUU